CCAAUAGCGUAUAUUAAAGUUGUUGCAGUUAAAAAGCUCGUAGUUGAAUUUCGGGAUUGACACAUCGGUCGUGCCCUAAGGGGUAUGAACUGGUGUAGUCAAUUUCUCACCUUCUGGAGAACCGCGAUGCCCUUAAUUGGGUGUCACGGGGAACCAGGACCUUUACUUUGAAAAAAUUAGAGUGUUUAAAGCAGGCAUUUUGCUUGAAUACAUUAGCAUGGAAUAAUAAAAUAGGACGGCAUGAUUCUAUUUUGUUGGUUUCUAGGAUCACCGUAAGGAUGAAUAGGGAUAGUUGGGGGCAUUAGUAUUCAAUUGUCAGAGGUGAAAUUCUUGGAUUUAUUGAAGACUAACUACUGCGAAAGCAUUUGCCAAGGAUGUUUUCAUUAAUCAAGAACGAAAGUUAGGGGAUCGAAGACGAUCAGAUACCGUCGUAGUCUUAACCAUAAACUAUGCCGACUAGGAAUCAGACGAUGUUAAUUUUUUAAUGACUCGUUUGGCACCUUACG
rnacentral:rRNA from 1 species